rnacentral:rRNA from 1 species
UUAAAUUGAAGAGUUUGAUCAUGGCUCAGAUUGAACGCUGGCGGCAGGCCUAACACAUGCAAGUCGAACGGUAACAGGAAGAAGCUUGCUUCUUUGCUGACGAGUGGCGGACGGGUGAGUAAUGUCUGGGAAACUGCCUGAUGGAGGGGGAUAACUACUGGAAACGGUAGCUAAUACCGCAUAACGUCGCAAGACCAAAGAGGGGGACCUUCGGGCCUCUUGCCAUCGGAUGUGCCCAGAUGGGAUUAGCUAGUAGGUGGGGUAACGGCUCACCUAGGCGACGAUCCCUAGCUGGUCUGAGAGGAUGACCAGCCACACUGGAACUGAGACACGGUCCAGACUCCUACGGGAGGCAGCAGUGGGGAAUAUUGCACAAUGGGCGCAAGCCUGAUGCAGCCAUGCCGCGUGUAUGAAGAAGGCCUUCGGGUUGUAAAGUACUUUCAGCGGGGAGGAAGGGAGUAAAGUUAAUACCUUUGCUCAUUGACGUUACCCGCAGAAGAAGCACCGGCUAACUCCGUGCCAGCAGCCGCGGUAAUACGGAGGGUGCAAGCGUUAAUCGGAAUUACUGGGCGUAAAGCGCACGCAGGCGGUUUGUUAAGUCAGAUGUGAAAUCCCCGGGCUCAACCUGGGAACUGCAUCUGAUACUGGCAAGCUUGAGUCUCGUAGAGGGGGGUAGAAUUCCAGGUGUAGCGGUGAAAUGCGUAGAGAUCUGGAGGAAUACCGGUGGCGAAGGCGGCCCCCUGGACGAAGACUGACGCUCAGGUGCGAAAGCGUGGGGAGCAAACAGGAUUAGAUACCCUGGUAGUCCACGCCGUAAACGAUGUCGACUUGGAGGUUGUGCCCUUGAGGCGUGGCUUCCGGAGCUAACGCGUUAAGUCGACCGCCUGGGGAGUACGGCCGCAAGGUUAAAACUCAAAUGAAUUGACGGGGGCCCGCACAAGCGGUGGAGCAUGUGGUUUAAUUCGAUGCAACGCGAAGAACCUUACCUGGUCUUGACAUCCACGGAAGUUUUCAGAGAUGAGAAUGUGCCUUCGGGAACCGUGAGACAGGUGCUGCAUGGCUGUCGUCAGCUCGUGUUGUGAAAUGUUGGGUUAAGUCCCGCAACGAGCGCAACCCUUAUCCUUUGUUGCCAGCGGUCCGGCCGGGAACUCAAAGGAGACUGCCAGUGAUAAACUGGAGGAAGGUGGGGAUGACGUCAAGUCAUCAUGGCCCUUACGACCAGGGCUACACACGUGCUACAAUGGCGCAUACAAAGAGAAGCGACCUCGCGAGAGCAAGCGGACCUCAUAAAGUGCGUCGUAGUCCGGAUUGGAGUCUGCAACUCGACUCCAUGAAGUCGGAAUCGCUAGUAAUCGUGGAUCAGAAUGCCACGGUGAAUACGUUCCCGGGCCUUGUACACACCGCCCGUCACACCAUGGGAGUGGGUUGCAAAAGAAGUAGGUAGCUUAGCCUUCGGGAGGGCGCUUACCACUUUGUGAUUCAUGACUGGGGUGAAGUCGUAACAAGGUAACCGUAGGGGAACCUGCGGUUGGAUCACCUCCUUACCUUAAAGAAGC